rnacentral:rRNA from 1 species
CAGCCGUAAACGAUGUGCGUUAGGUGUAUCGACGACCACGAGUUGUCGAGGUGCCGAAGGGAAACCGUGAAACGUACCGCCUGGGAAGUACGGCCGCAAGGCUGAAACUUAAAGGAAUUGGCGGGGGAGGCACCACAACGGGUGGGAGCCUGCGGGUUUAAUUUGGACUCAACGCCGGAAAUACUCACCGGAUAGGACAGACAUAUGAUAGUCGGGCUGAAGACUCUACUUGAUGAUCUGAGAGGAGGUGCAUGGCGUCAGUGACU